UUGACUGCGAGACCUACAAGUCGAGCAGGGUCGAAAGACGGACUUAGUGAUCCGGUGGUUCCGCAUGGAAGGGCCAUCGCUCAACGGAUAAAAGCUACCCCGGGGAUAACAGGCUUAUCUCCCCCAAGAGUUCACAUCGACGGGGAGGUUUGGCACCUCGAUGUCGGCUCAUCGCAUCCUGGGGCUGUAGUCGGUCCCAAGGGUUGGGCUGUUCGCCCAUUAAAGCGGUACGCGAGCUGGGUUCAGAACGUCGUGAGACAGUUCGGUCCCUAUCCGUCGUGGGCGUAGGAAAUUUGAGAGGAGCUGUCCUUAGUACGAGAGGACCGGGAUGGACAUACCUCUGGUGUACCAGUUGUCGUGCCAACGGCAUAGCUGGGUAGCUAUGUGUGGACGGGAUAAGUGCUGAAAGCAUCUAAGCAUGAAGCCCCCCUCAAGAUGAGAUUUCCCAACUUCGGUUAUAAGAUCCCUCAAAGAUGAUGAGGUUAAUAGGUUCGAGGUGGAAGCAUGGUGACAUGUGGAGCUGACGAAUACUAAUCGAUCGAAGACUUAAUCAA
rnacentral:rRNA from 1 species